rnacentral:other from 1 species
GCAAUACUGGUCUGAACGGUUUGUUUUGAUUCCUCUGAAUCAGCAAAUGAUGAGUUAUUGCAAUGUUGUGUUUGCACGCUCGUUCUUCGAGCAAGGUAGAUUCUACCAACUGUUUUGAACCCUAUCGUUCGAGACAUACUUCCUGUUUAAAGACUUGUCUGUCUAUUAUACCGCCAUUUUAUGGCGGUAUUUUUUUUA